GAGUUUGAUCCUGGCUCAGAUUGAACGCUGGCGGCAUGCCUUACACAUGCAAGUCGAACGGCAGCACGGGAGCUUGCUCCUGGUGGCGAGUGGCGAACGGGUGAGUAAUGCAUCGGAACGUAUCCUGGAGUGGGGGAUAACGUAGCGAAAGUUACGCUAAUACCGCAUAUUCUGUGAGCAGGAAAGCGGGGGACCUUCGGGCCUCGCGCUCUUGGAGCGGCCGAUGUCGGAUUAGCUAGUUGGUGAGGUAAAGGCUCACCAAGGCGACGAUCCGUAGCAGGUCUGAGAGGAUGAUCUGCCACACUGGAACUGAGACACGGUCCAGACUCCUACGGAGGCAGCAGUGGGGAAUUUUGGACAAUGGGGGCAACCCUGAUCCAGCCAUGCCGCGUGAGUGAAGAAGGCCU
rnacentral:rRNA from 1 species